UACGUAGGGUGCAAGCGUUAUCCGGAAUUAUUGGGCGUAAAGAGCUCGUAGGCGGUCUGUCGCGUCUGCUGUGAAAACUGGGGGCUCAACCCCCAGCCUGCAGUGGGUACGGGCAGACUAGAGUGCGGUAGGGGAGAUUGGAACUUCUGGUGUAGCGGUGGAAUGCGCAGAUAUCAGGAAGAACACCGAUGGCGAAGGCAGAUCUCUGGGCCGUAACUGACGCUGAGGAGCGAAAGCAUGGGGAGCGAACAGG
rnacentral:rRNA from 1 species